rnacentral:rRNA from 1 species
GAUGAACGCUAGCGGCAGGCUUAACACAUGCAAGUCGAACGGAAAGGCCCUGCUUUUGUGGGGUGCUCGAGUGGCGAACGGGUGAGUAACACGUGAGUAACCUGCCCUUGACUUUGGGAUAACUUCAGGAAACUGGGGCUAAUACCGGAUAGGAGCUCCUGCUGCGUGGUGGGGGUUGGAAAGUUUCGGCGGUUGGGGAUGGACUCGCGGCUUAUCAGCUUGUUGGUGGGGUAGUGGCUUACCAAGGCUUUGACGGGUAGCCGGCCUGAGAGGGUGACCGGCCACAUUGGGACUGAGAUACGGCCCAGACUCCUACGGGAGGCAGCAGUGGGGAAUAUUGCACAAUGGGCGGAAGCCUGAUGCAGCAACGCCGCGUGCGGGAUGACGGCCUUCGGGUUGUAAACCGCUUUCGCCUGUGACGAAGCGUGAGUGACGGUAAUGGGUAAAGAAGCACCGGCUAACUACGUG